rnacentral:rRNA from 1 species
GAUGAACGCUAGCGGGAGGCUUAACACAUGCAAGUCGAGGGGCAGCAUAGGGUAGCAAUACUCUGAUGGCGACCGGCAAACGGGUGAGUAACGCGUAUGCAACCUACCCUGUACAGGGGGAUAACCCGGAGAAAUUCGGACUAAUAUCCCGUAAUAAUAUCCGGAGGCAUCUUUGGAUAUUUAAAGUUCCGACGGUACGGGAUGGGCAUGCGUAACAUUAGCUGGUUGGUAAGAUAACGGCUUACCAAGGCUAUGAUGUUUAGGGGUCCUGAGAGGGUGGUCCCCCACACUGGUACUGAGACACGGACCAGACUCCUACGGGAGGCAGCAGUGAGGAAUAUUGGUCAAUGGGCGCAAGCCUGAACCAGCCAUCCCGCGUGCAGGAAGACGGCCCUAUGGGUUGUAAACUGCUUUUCCAGGGAGAGAAACUUACGCACGUGUUGCGUGACUGACGGUACCCUGGGAAUAAGCAUCGGCUAACUCCGUG